AAGGCAAGCCCCAAGACCUGUGAAAGUAUCGCACCCCCCAACACGUUGCCUUGAUUGCUCGAACGACGACCCAAAAACUAGUCCCGUUGCCUUGAUUCCUCGAACAUGUUGCCUUACUUUGUCGAACGAUCACCUGAUGAUGAGCAUCGUUGCCUAGAUUCGUUGAACGACGACCUUGGUUGCCUUGAUAUCACUAACGACGUUGCCUAGAUUUAUCGAACGAUGGUCCUGAAAGAUGCCUCCCCCAACACGUUGCCUUGUUAACUAGUUCCAUGUUGCCUUGAUUUCUCCAACACGUUGCCUUGACAUGUCGAACGAUGUCCUGGAAACUAGCCCUGUUCUCUUUAUUUCUUGAACAACGAUCUAGAAAGUAGCCUCGUUACCUUGAUUGCUGGAACACGUUGCCUUGAUAUCUCUAACGACGACCUGCAAAACUAGCAUGGUUUCCUUGAAUACUGGAACACAUUGCCUAGAAAACUUGCCUUGAUGACCUGAAAACUAGCCUUUUGUGGCCUUGGAUUCUUGAACGAUGACCUGAAAACUAGCCACGAUGGCCUGGAAACUAGCCACGAUUCCUUGAUUUUCCCCGACGUCGUGUGCAUACGAAAAAUUAUGCAUCCUCAGGGAAAUCAAUGUCUGUUCCUUUCACCAAGCUCUUUGUGCAAUAUGUAUAUAUUGGGGAGGGCAUGGUUGCUGAAUCGACCAUCGAGCAUCGUAAGGGCAAGCCCCAUGUGACAACCCAAGUUGUUCCGUUACAUUUUCCCCGUUCCUAUCAACGGAAUAUUCCAGUUUAUAAAGGUUCCGUUAAUUAGAGGUCGUCAAUUAAAUAAACAUUUCAUUUGUUUAUUAUUUAAUAGGCCGUUAAGUCGUGAUAAAAGGGAAUAAAAACACACAUGAUACAUUUCCAUUUAUUUGGAAAGUGUUAAGUUUUAUUAUUACGACCCCUAAAUCGGGUGCGACCAAAAGCCCCGUAUAACGGCAGUAUUGGCUAGAAUUCCACUGAGCUCCAACUCCCACCCAUAUAUAAAGGGGAGUAAACUCCAUUUGGAGCUUUUCCACCCUCUCUCUCUAUACUCUCUCUCUCUCUAGGAUCGUUUUCGACUAAAAAACCGCGAUUUCCGACUCCUAAACGUAAGACUAUCAACCCUAACUUGUUCUAUGCGUACAUUAUUGUCUUUUUAGCCUAAAAAUCACAAGAUUGAGACAUGAAAAAGGAGUUUACGGCCUAAGUGCCUCCUUAGGCCAUACACCCCCAAAAGAUGGCCAAAAUGACUCAAGAAUGUCCCUAAUGGCUUGGAAAUAAAUCAAGGGAUUUGCCUAGGAGUGUUUAAACAUUAAAUCACAUGAUUUUAGGGCAUAAAAGAGAGUUUACGGCCCAAGCACUUGCUUAGGCCGUAAACACCUCUUAAUCAUGUCUAAAUGUCCCAAAAUCACUCCCAAACCACCCUUGGGCUUAAUACAUAAUUUAGGGACUUAGUAUUUUGGAUUUAGACCAUUAAAACAUAAUGAAAUGAAAGGGAAAAGGGAGUUUACGGCCCAAGUAUGUACCAAGGCCGUAAACACCCCUAAAUGUGCCAAAAGUAUGGUUUUGCCCCCCAAAUGACCUUAGACUAUUUCUAUAAAAUGCUAGGAUGGAUUUAAAGGCUUAAACUCAAAGAAUGGUGGGUGUAUGAGAAUUCACGGCCAAACCAUAGAGCUUACUGCCGUAAACUCUCAAGGGUUGGUCAUUUGGACCAUAAACUCUAAAGGAGACCCCUUUUGGAAUCCUAAACACCCCUAUAGCCUUGAAUAAAUUACUAGAAGUGAUAUAAGGGCUUGAAACUUCACAAAACUCAAGGGAUGAGAGUUUAUGGCCGUAAACUCCCUUAGGAGUUGUCCCUAGUCCGUAAACUCCAUUAUAGUGCCCUUAAAGACCCUAAACCCACUCAUGCCUUUUGGAAUUGGACCUAGAAUAAUUCCAUGAACAAGUAGAAGCCUUAAAACACACUAGAUACCCUCACCAUGAGUUUACGGCCGUAAACACAUGGUGAGUAGUCCAUGGGCCGUAAACUAAGUUGUAAGGGUUUACUCUCGGAGAGUAAACUCCAUUCCUAAGUCAUACACACCCUUAGACGCUACUCGGGACACCCAAACACUUAACCAAAGUGUUUUCCGCUCCUUUGAGUGCGUAUACAUGUUUAAUUAGUAUUAAAUAUAUUAAUUGUAUGUGAACAUAUGUUAUCAUAUGUUAAAUAGGUCAUAGAGUGUGUUCGAGUCCUUACGUGACACCAAACGCCCAAACGACACCUUCGUCGGACCUACUUACACCAGGUGAGUUCAUACCCCUGAAUGAACCUUUUAAAUGUUUUUACAUGUUUUAUAGGGGGGAAUACAAGUUAAACAUGCCAGUUAUCAUAUCAAUCACAUGUGAUUGAUAACCCGCAUGCACAAGAUUUUACCACAUUGAAUACUGUUUUACCAAGUAGGACACUAUAAAUGGUUUUCUAAAAGGUUUUCACUUGUUCAAAGUUCUUACUUUUACUGUUUUGUCAAAGUUUCAUUUCAAACUGAUUUAUGAAUGAUUUCCAAAGAAUUUCUAAAAGCUUUACAUCAAACUUGUUUCACAAAGGAAUACCAAGUCGUGAUUUUCUUAAAAUAUAAAGGUUUUCUAAAGUUUACGCCUAUGUUUUUAUACUUCUACUCGUUAACGUUUCCACUUCGAGAUACACUUAUACUUGAUAACGUUUCCACUUCGCGAUACGAUCAUACCUGAUGGACGCUUAUACUUGUUCACACUCUUACUUAGAGAUAAGUGUCUACUUCAUUUAUACAUGAUAUCGUUCCUACUCCACUUAUACUUGUAGUCGCUUAUACCUGAUAGACGCUCUAACUUCACUUAUGUCGUCUCUAUUUCGUGAUGCGCUUAUACUUGUUCGACACUCCUACUUCACAAGAAUCACUUUCACUUGAUACACACUCAGUCGUAGUUAGAUGUAUGUCUGUGCUCAUGUAGAUACAUAAGUAAUGAUUGAAAGACUUAGGAAGGUUCGUUCGCCCUAUUUCCUUUUCUUCAUUGAGAUGUGGUCUGGUGGGAUCGGAUGUCUGUCCGAAGGUCGUUUGGUUCAUUAGUUAUAUACUAUGUAUAUGAGUAUGGGCGUAUAGGAAUGCUCUAGUCGAUUCAGUUAGGAGUCUCUACCUCUAGUCUACACUUACAUUAGAAACACACUACCCACUUUUUGGAAGUCUCUACCCCCUAUUUGGGAUGCAUCUUCAGGACACGGCCUUCCCCGUCGUCUAGUUGGUAACCAGAGUCUUCUGUAGGGAGAGCGGACAUUGUGUGUAUAGAUCUAUACGGGAUUGACAACCCCGCACCCAGACUGCUAGCUACAGUCCCGGCCUACCAAGCCAACGGGUGACAAAUGUCACAUCUUAUAGACGCUUGUAGGGCGUCUGGAACUCUAGUCAGUAUGGUUACGAGUAUCCCGGGUUACCUUAUAAUUCAUGGCUUUAAGGUAACGGUAUUUCACCGGCAAUCUACACUGUAUGCUGGUAACUCAUUUUCAGAGUCACACUGUUUGACCUUACAAGACGUAUCUUUCAUUUGAUACUGUAUGGGGUCUGUUUUCUCUGUUUUGACCUUACAAGACGUAUCUUUCAUUUGAUACUGUCUGGGGUCUGUUUUCUCUGUAUUCACUGUAUUCACUGUUCUGACCUUACAAGACGUAUCUUUCAUUUGAUACUGUCUGGGGUCUAUAUACACUGUUUGAGACCUUACCAGCAGUACUUUUCAUUUGGUACCUUCUGGGGUCUGUGACUCUAUUUGUUAGACUGAACCAGGCGUGUCGUUCGUUCGAUAGUUUCCUGGAGUCUAUGAUUCCUUGCCUUAGUCAGCAGUCCUCACUGCUGAGGCAUAUGUUAUUCCCUGAUGUCGUUUGCUUUCCUCAAUAAUCAAUUUUAGUAUUUUGAUAACGAUAACAAUUUAGGGAAAACUACUUUUUACCACAUAACACUGACCAGUCUUGGUAGAAGGCUGCUUUUAUUAAAGAAAAUAUAGGAUUUUCUGGAAAGAACUCUAAUGCACUGUAAACACUUAAAAUAUUACUUCAUAACAUUAUUUGACUAAAUGACACUAAAAUACUUAUGAACUCACCAGCAUUUGUAAAAAUGCUGAUACUCGCUUUUCAAAUAACUUGUAUUCUCAGGUCAGCAAUUAGACAGGUACACCCCUGAGCUGUUGAUGAAGAUGGAUUAGUACCUUGCUGUACUUAUUAUAUUUACUUGUGCUACUUUGAUACCUUGUAAUGUAACCAUGUAAAAUUAUUAUUAUUAAUGCAAUGUUUUGUUGUACUUUGAUUACUAUAUGCAUGUGUUGUGAUACUUGACAUGACGUCAUCCACCCCAGAACGUUUCCGCCGUUCCGGUGUUGGGGUGUGACACCCCAAGACCCGUGAAAGAGACCUCCCCCAACACGUUGCCUUGAUUGCUCGAACGACGACCCAAAAACUAGCCACGUUGCCUUGAUUCCUCGAACAUGUUGCCUUGAUUUGUGGAACGAUGAACAGAUGACUAGAAGCGUUGCCUAGAUUUGUCGAACGACGACCUUGAAACUAGCCCGGUUGCCUUGAUUCCUUGAGCAUGUUGCCUUGAUUUUUUGAACGAUGACCUGAAAACUAGCCUAAUGGAAAACAUGGGUGCUAUUCCUCAUUGCCUAGACAUAUAUAUUUAGGGGGACCAUAGAGACGAAGCAACCAUCUAGCACCAACAACGCAAGCCCUAAGACCCGUGAAGGAGCCCACCCCCAACGCAUUGCCUUGAUUGCUCGAAAGACGAGCCAAAAACUAGCCCCGUUGCCUUGAUUCCUCGAACGUGUUGCCUUCAUUUGUCGAACGAUGACCUGAUGACUAACAUUGUAGCCUAGUUUUGUCGAACGACGACCAUGAAACUAGUCCUGUUGCCUUGGUUCCUUGAGCUUGUUGCCUUUAUUUUUUGAACGAUGACCUGAAAACUAUCCUAAUGGACAACUUGUGGGAUAUUCCUUAUUACCUUGACGUAUAUAUUGGGGGGGACCAAAGAGACGAAGCAACCAUCAAGCACCAACAAGGCAAGCCCCAAGACCCGUGAAGGAGCCCGCCCCCCAAAGCGUUGCCUUGAUUGCUCGAACGACGAGCCAAAAACUAGCCCUGUUGCCUUGAUUCCUCGAAUGUGUUACCUUAAUUGGUCGAUCGAUGACCUGAUGACUAACAUUGUUGCCUAAAUUUUUCGAACAAUGACCUUGAAGCUAGUCUUUUUGCCUUGAUUCCUUGAGCUUGUUGCCUUGAUAUUUUGAACGAUGACCUGAAAACUAUGCUGAUAAACAACCGGGGUGUGCUAUCCUCGUUGCCUUGACGUCUAAUAUGGGGGGGACCAUAGGGACGAAGCAACCAUGGAGCACCGACAAGGCAAGCCCCAAGACCCAUGAAGGUUCCCACCCCCUAACACGUUGCCUUGAUUGGUCGAACGGCGACCUAAAAAAAAGCCAUGUUUCCUUGAUUCCUCGAACAUGAUGACUUAAUUUUUCGAACGAUGACAUGAUGACUAGCAUUGGUGCCUAGAUUUGUCGAACGAUGACCUAAUGACUAACAUUUUUGCCUAGAUUUGUCGAACGAGGACCUGGAAACUAGUCCUGUUGCCUUGAUUCCUUGAGCUUGUUGCCUUGAUUUUUUAAACGAUGACCUGAAAACUAUCCUGAUGGACAACCAGGGUGUGCUAUAAUCGUUGCCUUGACGUCUAAUAUUGGGGGUACCAUAAGGACGAAGCAACCAUCAAGCACCGACAAGGCAAGCCCCAAGACCCGUGAAGGAGCCCACCCGCAAACACGCUGCCUUGUUUGCUCGAACGACGACCUAAAGAAAGCCCUGUUUCCUUGAUUCCUCGAACAUGUUGCCUUAAUUUGUCGAACGAUGACAUGAUGAAUAGCAUUGUUGCCUAGAUUUGUCGAACGACGACCUUGAAACUAUCCAUGUUGCCUUGAUUCGUUGAGCAUGUUGCCUUGAUUUUUAGAAUGAUGGCCUGAACACAAGCCUUGUGGCCUUGCUUUGUAGAACAUGUAGUCUUGAUAUCUAAAACAACAUCCGGAUACCUAUACCCAUUGCCUUAAUGUAAAAAUAGGGGGACCGUAGAGACGAAGAAACCACCGAGCAGUGACAAGGCGAGCCCGAAGACCCUUGAAAGAAGCACACAACAAACAUGUUGCCUUGGUUGCUCGAACGACGACCUGAAAACAUGCCAUGUAUCCUUGAUUCCUCUAACCUGUGGCAUUAAUUUUAUGAACGAUGACCUGAUUACACGCCUUGCUGCCUAGAUGUGUCGAACGAUGGCCUUGAAAGAUGCCUACCCGAACACGUUGCCUUGUUAACUAGUUCCAUGUUGCCUUGAUUUCUCCAGCAUGUUGCCUUGAUAUGUUUAAGUAAAUCCUGAAAACUAGCCAUCUCACCUUGUUUUCUCGAACGAUGACCUGGAAAGUAGCCUCGUUGCCAUGGCUGCUGGAACAUGCUGCCUUUCUUUCUCUAAUGACGACCAGAAAACUUGCAUUGUUGCCUUUUGUUUUUAUCACGAUGACAUGACAUGUAUCCUUGAUUCUUCUUACAUGUUGCAUUAAUUUUAUGAACGAUGACCUGAUUACAGGCCUUGGUGCCUAGAUUUGUCGAAUGAUGGCCUUGAAAGUUUCAUACCCGAACACGUUGGCUUGUUGACUAGUUCCAUGUUGCCUUGAUAUGUUUAAGAAAAUCCUGAAAACUAGCCAUGUGGCCUUGUUUUCUUGAACGACGACCAGGAAACUAGCCUCAUUGCCUUGGCUGAGGGAACAUGUUGCCUUGUUUUCUCUAACGACGACCAUAAAACUUGUAUUGUUGCCUUGGCUGCUCGAACGAAGACCUGAAAACAUGCCUUGUAUCCUUGAUUCCUCUAACAUGUUGCAUUAAUUUUAUGAACGAUGACCUGAUUACAAGCCUUGCUGCCUAGAUCUGUCGAACGAUGGCCUUGAAAGUUUCCUACCCGAACACGUUGCCUUGUUAACUAGUUCAAUGUUGCCUUGAUUUCUCCAACAUGUUGCCUUGAUAUGCUUAAGAAAAUCCUGAAAACUAGCCAUGUCGCCUUGUUUUCUUUAACGACCCACGAUGCCUUGAUUUAUCGAACGAAGACCAGAAAACUAGCCUCGUAUCCUUGGUGUGUUUUUAUCGGAGGCCGCGUCACCAUUGUUGGUGAAAUACGGCCCGGUCACCGUGUUUGAUUAUUGUAAGUUCCUUUAUCCUUGUCCAAUUCAUGCCAAACCGGCUUCAUUUUGGCGAGUUAUAGAGAAUUAUAGCAUCUGAGUUUUUCGACUCGACCAGGACUAGAUACGCCCAAGAUUAACCGGUGACGAGAUGACCCUGAUGAAAACCUGUCCAAAAUCAUAUUUUGCUCAGUAACUCGAAAUAUGUGCACACUUUCUCGAUCACAAAAGAAAUUUUACCAUGUAAAUCAAGACGACCUGAAAACUAGCCUUGUUGCCUUGAUUAUUCGAACUUGUUGCUUAGAUAUUUUGAACGAUGACCUUGAAGCUAGGCUUGUUGCCUUGAUUUUUAGACCGUUGACCUGAAAACUAGCCUUUUGUGGCCUUGGUUUCUUGAACAAUGACCUGAAAACUAGCCACGAUGUCUUGAUUUCUCCCGACGUCGUGCGCAUGCUAAAAAUUAUGCAUCUUCGGGCAAAUCAAUGUCUGUUGCCUUGAUUUCUUGAACAUGUUGCCUUGAUUUCUAGAAUGACAACCUGAAAACUAGCCUUGUGGCCUUGAAUUGCAAGACAUCUUGUCUUGAUAUCUCAAACGAAAGCCUGAUUGCUAUCCCCAUUGCCUUGAUGGCGACGAAGGCACCGUCGAGCACCGACAAGGCAAGCCCAAUGACCCAUGAAGGAAGCCCACCCCAACAUCUUGCCUUGUUUUCUCGAACGAUGACCUGUAAACUAGCCUUGUUCCCUUGAUUAUUCAAACUUGUUGCUUAGAUUUCUUGAAGGAUGACCUUGAAACUAGGCCUGUUACCUUUAUUGUUGCCUUGAUUUUUAGAACAAGGACCUGAAAACUAGCCUUGUGGCCUUCGUUUCUAGAACAUGAUGUCUUGAUAUCUCGAAUGACGAGCGGAGAGCAGUGCCCGUUGCCUUGAUUUUUCGAACGAAGACCUAAAAAACAACCCAUGUUGCCUUGAUAUCUCGAACCUGAUGGCUUGGUUUUUGGAACGAAGGACUUAAAAUUUUCCCCGUUGCCUUGAUUUCACGAACGAUGCUUUGGUUUAAGUAAAAUGUUGGCGGCCUUUCUCGGACGACGGCUGAAAGCUGGCGUGUUGCCUUGAUUUAUGGAGCGCCUUUGAUUUAUACAACAUUUUGUCCGUGUUUCUCGAACGACGACCUGAAAGCUUGGAUUUAUUGAACGACGGCCUGAAAACAAGCCUUGCCGCCUUGAUCACUCAAACAUGUUGCCUUGAAUUAUCAAACUACUACCCGAAAGCAUGUUGCCUUGAAUUAUCAAACACCGUCGAAGUCACUACACACGAUGCAUGCCCAUAUUAAAUGAGUUCAUGUUGCUCUUUCGGCAUUUUUGACGUCUUAUGAGAAAACAAAGUAUAAUUGGUGGUCCUAGUAAAGCGCAUGUCAUCGGUUCGGGUUGUUAUGUGUUUUUAUCGGAGGCCGCGUCACCGUUGUUGGUGAAUUACGGCCCGGUCACCGAGUUUUAUUAUUGUAAGGUCCUUUAUCCUUGUCCAAUUCGUGCCAAACCGGCUUCAUUUUGGCGAGUUAAAUAGAAUUAUAGCGUCUCGGAUUUUUCGACUCGGCCAAGACUAGAUACGGUCAAGAUUAACCGGUGAGCAGAUGACCCAACCCGAUGAAACCUGGCCAAAAUCAUAUUUUGCUCGACAACUCGAAAUCCAUGCACAUUUCCUCGAUCACGAAAGAAAUUUUACCAGGCAAAUCAACAAUUUCGAGCAACUUUCAUUCAAUGGGUUUUUGCGAAAUCGGAGGUAAAAGACCACCCGGUGACCAAAGACGAUAAGACGCGGUGAAAGUUAGCCAAAAUCGCAUUUUGCUCAGUAACUCGAAAUCCGUGCACAUUUUCUGGAUCACGAAAGAAAAUUUACCAGGUAAAUCAAUGAUUUCGAGCAAUUUUCAUUUAAUGGUUUUACGCUGAUUCGGAAGUACAAGAUCACCCGGUGACCAAAGACGAUAAGACGCGGUGAAAGUUAGCCAAAAUCGCAUUUUGCUCAGUAACUCGAAAUCCGUGCACAUUUUCUCGAUCAUGAAAGGAAUUUUGCCGUGUAAAUCAAGGUUUCCGAGCAACUUUCAUUCAAUGGGUUUUCGCUAAUUCGGAAGUACAAGACCACCCGGUGACUAAAGUCGACCCAACCCGAUGAAAGUUAGCCGAAAUCACAUAUGGAUCGGUAACUCGAAAUCCGUGCACAUUUUCUUGAUCACGAAAGAAAAUUUACCAGGUAAAUCAAUGAUUUCGAGCAACUUUCAUUCAAUGGGUUUUUUGCCAAUUCGAAAGUUAAAGUUCAGUAGUGUGUGUGUACAAGUGUCGAAGCUUUGGUCCCCCGGGUAAUUACGGACCAAAAACAUAUUUUUUUUGAAACGUACAUUAUUCGUGUUAAUAAAGAGCCAUGCAAAAUUUCUUCAAAAUCUGAUUUAAUUUGGAGGAGUUAUGGACGUAUUUUGCAAAAUUAUGCAUCCUGGGGAAAUCAAUGUCUAUUCCUAUCACCAAGCUCUUUGUGCAAUAUGUAUAUAUAGGGGAAGGGUGGGAGUGACGCCCCACAGGCAUCCCAAAGGCGGGUGGGCGACCAGCGACGUCGAGGCUGCUACGACCAAGGGCAAAGCCAAGGCAAGGCCAUCGACCAAGCUCACCGGUCAUAUCCAAGUCGCGAUUUGUGUUUGGUUGGUGAAACCAGAUCGCGACCAGCCACUCCUCGACGAGAUCCUCGCAAGUGACCCAUUUUCACCGAUGAAAAACCUGAUCGCGACCUUAAUUGCCCCACGCCGUGCUAGUUCCAAAAAAUUAUGCAUGAUAUGGAAAAUCAAUGUCUGUUCCUAUGACCAAGCGCUUUGCGCAAUAUGUAUAUAUAGGGGAAGGGUGGGAGUGACGCCCCACCGGAGCCCCAAAGGUGGGUGAGCGACCAACGACAUCGAGGUUGUUACGACCAAGGGCAAGCCAAGGCAAGGCCAUUGGCCAAGCUCACCGGUGAUAUCCAUGUCGCGAUUUGCGUUUGCUUGGCGAAACCAGAUCGCGACCAGCCACUCCUCGACAAUAUCCUCGCAAUCGGCCCAUUUUCACCGAUGAAAAACCUGGUCGCGACCAAAGUUGCCCCACGUCGUGCUAGUUCCAAAAAAUUAUGCAUGAUAUGGAAAAUCAAUGUCAGUUCCUGUCACCAAGCUCUUUGCGCAAUAUGUAUAUAUAGGGGGGACCAUGGAGACCGAAGCCACCAGCGAGCAUUGAAAGGGCAAGCCCUAUGACCUGUGAAAGUAUCGCACCCCCCAACACGUUGCCUUGAUUGCUCGAACGACGACCCAAAAACUAGCCCCGUUGCCUUGAUUCCUCGAACAUGUUGCCUUACUUUGUCGAACGAUGACCUGAUGAUGAGCAUCGUUGCCUAUAUUCGUUGAACGAAGACCUUGGUUGCCUUGAUAUCACUAACGACGUUGCCUAGAUUUAUCGAACGAUGGCCCUGAAAGAUGCCUCCCCCAACACGUUGCCUUGUUAACUAGUUCAUGUUGCCUUGAUUUCUCCAACACGAGAUCCUCGUAAGCGACCCAUUUUCACCGAUGAAAAACCUGGUCGCGACCAAAGUUGCCCCACGUCGUGCUAGUUCCAAAAAAUUAUGCAUGAUAUGGAAAAUCAAUGUCUGUUCCUGUCACCAAGCUCUUUGCGCAAUAUGUAUAUAUAGGGGGAGGGGGGGGGCNAGGUGCCCCAAAGGUGGGUGAGCGACCAGCGACAUCGAGGCUGUUACGACCAAGGGCAAGCCAAGGCAAGGCCAUUGGCCAAGCUCACCGGUGAUAUCCAAGUCGCGAUUUGCAUUUGCUUGGCGAAACCAGAUCACGACCAGCCACUCCUCGACGAUAUCCUCGCAAUCGGCCCAUUUACACCGAUGAAAAACCUGGUCGCGACCAAAGUUGCCCCACGUCGUGCUAGUUCCAAAAAAUUAUGCAUGAUAUCGAAAAUCAAUGUCUGUUCCUGUCACCAAGCUCUUUGCGCAAUAUGUAUAUAUAGGGGGACCAUGGAGACCGAAGCCACCAGCGAGCAUCGAAAGGGCAAGCCCCAAGACCUGUGAAAGUAUCGCACCCCCCAACACGUUGCCUUGAUUGCUCGAACGACGACCCAAAAACUAGCCCCGUUGCCUUGAUUCCUCGAACAUGUUGCCUUAGUUUGUCGAACGAUGACCUGAUGAUGAGCAUCGUUGCCUAGAUUCGUUGAACGACGACCUUGGUUGCCUUGAUAUCACUAACGACGUUGCCUAGAUUUGUCGAACGAUGGCCCUGAAAGAUGCCUCCCCCAACACGUAGCCUUGUUAACUAGUUCCAUGUUACCUUGAUUUCUCCAACACGUUGCCUUGACAUGUCGAACGAUGUCCUGAAAACUAGCCCCGUUCUCUUUUCUUCUUGAACAACGACCUGGAAAGUAGCCUCGCUACCUUGAUUGUUGGAACAAGUUGCCUUGAUAUCACUAACGACGACCUGCAAAACAAGCAUGGUUGCCUUGAAUACUGGAACACAUUGCCUAGAAAAAUUGCCUUGAUGACCUGAAAACUAGCCUUUUGUGGCCUUGGUUUCUUGAACGACGACCUGAAAACUAGCCACGAUGGCCUGGAAACUAGCCACGAUGCCUUGAUUUUCCCCGACGUCGUGUGCAUAUGAAAAAUUAUGCAUCCUCAGGGAAAUCAAUGUCUGUUCCUAUAUCCAAGCUCUUUGUGCAAUAUGUAUAUAUAGGGGAGGGCAUGGUUGCUGAAUCCACCAUCGAGCAUCGUAAAGGGAAGCCUUAAGACCCGUGAAAGAGCCCCCCCCCAACACGUUGCCUUGAUUGCUCGAACGACGACCCAAAAACUAGCCGCGUUGCCUUGAUUCCUCGAACAUGUUGCCUUGAUUUGUGGAACGAUGACCGGAUGACUAGAAUCGUUGCCUAGAUUUGUCGAACGACGACCUUGAAACUAGCCCGGUUGCCUUGAUUCCUUGAGCAUGUUGCCUUGAUUUUUUGAACGAUGACCUGAAAACUAGCCUAAUGGAAAACAUUGGUGCUAUUCCUCAUUGCCUAGACGUAUAUAUUUGGGGGGACCAUAGAGACGAAGCAACCAUCUAGCACCAACAAGGCAAGCCCUAAGACCCGUGAAGGAGCCCACCCCCCAACGCGUUGCCUUGAUUGCUCGAAAGACGAGCCAAAAACUAGCCCCGUUGCCUUGAUUCCUCGAACGUGUUGCCUUAAUUUGUCGAACGAUGACCUGAUGACUAACAUUGUUGCCUAGAUUUGUCGAACGACGACCACGAAACUAGUCCUGUUGCCUUGGUUCCAUGAGCUUGUUGCCUUGAUUUUUUGAACGAUGACCUGAAAACUAUCCUAGUGGACAACUUGUGGGCUGUUCCUUAUUGCCUUG
rnacentral:lncRNA from 1 species